rnacentral:lncRNA from 1 species
CAUCGACAUGCCUUGAGCCUGAGGUUUGACUUCUGUAUUAAAUCGGUGACAGAUACGUGCAGGCGUAUGUAUGGGGAGGGGCAUAAGAGUUCGCAGAUCAUAAACAUCCGUACACAGAAUGUGUAUAAAAGGGCACUGGAGUCAGAUCAGAGCACAAUCACACACAAUCAAGAGCGAACAGGUCUUGGCUUCAACAAAGUGACCAUGGGAGGUGCAGAAAGCUCUAACACACACGUUGCCAACGCGACUGGAAAACCCAUCCGCAUUUACUACAGUGUGGAGAAGAUGAGGAUGGAAGAGAUGGUGGUCACAGUUGGUGCCGGUUUGGAAGGUUCAAAGAAAAGUGUGACAGGGAACGUCUCCGCUGGGACAGAGAUGCAUUUCAAAAAGGACUCCAGGAUCCGCUACAUUCGCAUCCCGAUCGGCGACUUCACCAAGAUCGCGGGAGAAGGGGAGCUCUAUGCCUCUGUGUUCGUGGAGUGCAACAGCUCACCAGAAAAGUGUUUGAAUAACAUUUCCCUCAACUUCCAUGUCCCCAGUGAUCGAUCCUUCAUCGUGACUCCGAACGAGGGUAUCCGCUUCCAAAAAUACGGUGCGAGCAUUUGGGAGGAUGAGUAUGGGAACAAAUACCGAUGAAAAAAAUGUCAUUGCAUACAAAUAUGAAAUGUGAGAAAUUAGUGACAAACUAAAACAUGUGAUUACACAGAAUUAAAAAAGAAAAAUUUUUACUUCCUGCAGUUGAACAGAAUAUGUGCACUUUUUCAUUUUAAUCUCCCUGUUGGAUACAAAAUCUUGAUGCUUCCUUACAGGUUCAGAGCAAAAUAUUAUGCUUUUUGGAAUUUUCUUAAUUAUGUGUAAGCAGACAUUGGGCCUGAAUGUUAACUGGAAAAAAUUAUGAUUAUUUCUGAUAACCAGUCAUAUGUUAAAAACCAUUUUGAUCAACAAAGUUUAUGUUGUACGUUGUUGGCCAGUCAAAAGUCUCCCUGAAUAUUACAUGUAUCUGAACACUGUUCUCCCCAUUUGGCAUCUUUGUACUGUUCAUGAACCCGUCUGUUCAUAUGUUCAGUUCAGCCUGCAGGGCUCUUGAGACAAUAAAGAAAACUUUCCAGUUAGGUUGUAUUGCGCU